rnacentral:lncRNA from 1 species
CCAAAUCUCUAGAUAUACAUAAAAAUAAAUUUAUAUUUUUCAAAUUUCGAUAGGUGGUAUAAAGUAUCAGAGGCGUACCAACAAUUUAUAUGUUAUGAGGCAAAAUAAUCGCGUACCAAUAAUUCGUGUGCCAUGAUACAAUCCCAAUUGAUCGAAAUUCUAUGCUACGUCUCAACAUUUGAACUUUCACCUCUUUGAUUCACCAUGUUGCAUGCGAGAGACAUCAACCAAGAAAAUUAUUCAUAUUGUUUGAACGUGUUUUUUUUGUUGAAUAAAAAUAUUUUUUUAUUUGUUCUAAGUUUAAAAGGCAACAAAAGAAAAAAAAACCAGACAAAAAAAACAGCGCCCAAUCAAAUCCAUCGUCUCACCCUUCUCCGUUACUAUGCCACAAGGCAUCUACACGCGCAUGAGGGGCGGUGUUCACUUGUCAAUUGCCUUGCUAGUUGCUACGUCUCCCUCACAAGUGAAAAAACCAACCAUACCGGACAACCUUAUAACAAAGAAUUAUGAGCUCCACGAAUCAAAUGCAUUAUUCAUUCGUUGGUUAACAAUACAUGAGAGUGGAGUUAGAAACGACAUAUUAUUAUUAGGUGGUGUAAAAAUUCCCACAUUUAGAGGUAUUAAUGGGGUUUCCAAGAUUCUUGAUAAGUAGCAAAAUAUAAUAUUUUUCACAAAUAUUAAUCUCUAUAUUGAAAAUUAAGAAAUAUUAAAUCACAUAAACCCAAAAAAACAGAUUUAAUUCUCCAUCGUUCAAUCAAAUUAUCUCUAUAUUUAAAUAUCACUUUGAAUCAUUGAAAUAUCACUUUGAAUCAUUUGCCUUACUAUUGGGACAACAGGGUUAAUCCGAUAAUCUUUUUUAUGAAACAUAAUGAUUAAGAAAAAUAUCUUCAAAACGUAGGUUUUGCUCAAAUACCUCUGUAAAAAACAAUCUAUCAUUUGCUGAAAUUCGGUAAUCAGAACGAGGAAUUUAAUUAUCAUCAUCGCAAAAUGCUACCAAAUUUCAAUCGAGGAUAAAUGAAAGCAAAAAUGGAAUUCGUGAGGCUCAGACACGCACAAAUUCGGUCAUCAAAUGAUGCUGCGUGAAGAGAAAAAUGGAUGAUUUAAAUCAUCCAUCAUCAAAUCACAAGCACCUAAUAAUCAGAAUCGAGAAAUGUUUUCUUUCUUCAUCGCCUCUUUGGAAAUCAAUCUUUGAAACGCUGAAGCAAGAAUUGAUGUUUGAUAAAAACAGAGAAAAAACAGAAAUCCAAAUUCAAGAAUCGAGUAUAUAGAAAAAGAUCGAUUGAAGUUACCUUUAAUCACAUCAUAGAUACUACUCAUGAGAACCCUAAUUUUAAAUAUCGUGGCGUUUAAAUACGCGAAAUUGAGAACCCUAAUUUUAGCAGAACUGAAGAGCAAGAACACUGC